ACUGUUAUUAACAGAAAUGAAAAUACUUAAGCUGACUUUUGAGAGCCAGUCCUCCCCAGAAUGAAAACAGAAAACUUAAGCAACAAUUCUCCAGAUUUUUUCUCUCUGCCUCAUUCCCCUCUACACUCCCUUUUUUAUCCACACAACCAUAACUGCUUCUUGAUUCUCUCCACUCUUAGGCUGCUACAUGUCAUCCCCUUGAGCUGCUGCAAUUAACUCUGGACCACUUUAUGCUCGAGCUGCACCUCUUUUGAAUUUCUCCCCCUUGGUCCUGCAUGCAUAAACCUUGGUUAUAAGGUUUCUAUCAGGGUACAAUGGACAGCAGCAGACUGCAGGGUAUUGCGGAUGUUGGAGACAAGGUUAAGAGCUGGAAAAUUCCUGAUGUUUCAGAUCCGUCACAAAUCAAAGCUCUGCUCUUACCUGAUUCUACAGCACCAAGCAGGGAACGCCGAAAUGUUUAGUCAAAUGCUGUAUAUUCCAAAAUUUUCAGGUUAUUCGGUUGAUCUGCACCAACUCUGGUCGAGCUCUAUUGUGCCUUACUGCCAGUGCUGUUCACAAGCUGUGGAAAUGGCAGCAUAGUGAAUGGAAUCCCUUGAAGAAGGUUUAUUAUUUUCCAUCUGCAAAUUUCUAUUGUUUUUAUAUUUUGAUCUUUUUCAAGUCUAUUGCAAACUUGUCAAGCUACUGCAUACAUGGCAUCUCAGUUGUGGCAAUCUCUUAGUGGAACACUUAUGACCAAUGACAUUAAUGAUGAUAAACCAGCUGAAGAGUUUGCUGCAUGCAUCGCUUUAUCCAAAAAUGACUGUUACAUUAUCUCUGCCUCUGGCAGAAAGGUUUCCUUGUUCAACAUGAUGACAUCCAAGGUCACGGACAUGUUCAUGCCCCCACCUUCAGCGGCCACCUUUUUGGCGUUCCAUCCUCAAGAUAAUAGUAUUGUUGCCUUUGGGAUGGAGGAUUCUACUAUUCAGAUAUACAAUGUACGAGUUGAUGAGGUAAAGUUUCUCACUUGAUUUGUCAUUUUCUUUACCAAAUUUCUGAAGCUAGUUUUAUGUUAAACUGAGUAGUAAAAGGAUUAUGAUGAUAUUUUGAGAUCGAUAAUGGAAAUAUGAUUCUGAUUUAGCUGAAUCAUUACCAGUACCAUACAAUCUGAUUUAUGCUUUGGGUCAGUUUAUUGGAGGGAAAGUCUUAUUUUAACCAUCUCUUAAUGGAGCCACUGGUUCGGAAACGUUCAAGGAUUUCGGAUCCACACACAGAGUGCG